rnacentral:rRNA from 1 species
AUUGAACGCUGGCGGCAUGCCUUACACAUGCAAGUCGAACGGCAGCGCGGGAGCAAUCCUGGCGGCGAGUGGCGAACGGGUGAGUAAUACAUCGGAACGUGCCCAAUCGUGGGGGAUAACGCAGCGAAAGCUGUGCUAAUACCGCAUACGAUCUACGGAUGAAAGCAGGGGAUCGCAAGACCUUGCGCGAAUGGAGCGGCCGAUGGCAGAUUAGGUAGUUGGUGAGGUAAAGGCUCACCAAGCCUUCGAUCUGUAGCUGGUCUGAGAGGACGACCAGCCACACUGGGACUGAGACACGGCCCAGACUCCUACGGGAGGCAGCAGUGGGGAAUUUUGGACAAUGGGCGAAAGCCUGAUCCAGCCAUGCCGCGUGCAGGAUGAAGGCCUUCGGGUU